CAUGACUCCCACUGUAGUAAGAGAACUUAGUACAAAUUUUCUAAAAUGUUAUCACUUAAUUAUUUUAAUUGUGACUCUUCUUUUAAUGUUGGUUUCACUGUCAUGUUGUAUUCACUUUUAGUUUUAUAAACUUUUUUUUACUGCAAAAGACUACAACUUUCUAUUGGUACUGGUUUUGUUUUACUAUGCAUGUCAACCAGCAUCCAUUUGCAUCUGUUUGCUGAUGUCAAUAUGCAUCUGCUGAGCUACUGAAUAAUACUACUAAUAAGUUUCUCAAGUGUUUCAAAAACUCCUGGAUAAAGCUAACUUUCCUCACAGAUAGUGCAACACCUUCUGGUUUUGCUCUCGGCAUUUAGAUUAGAAUGUGCCUAUAUAAUGUAUUGUUAAUGCUGCGAAAUCAAUAAGCACAAUACAGAAAGAUGAUGAAACAGUGUGUGUUUACCACAACGCAGCAGUCACAGGAAAAGGGGGUAACUAUUGUCAAACUAAAUCUCAGCCUGCUUCACUUGAGUCUGCACUUUGUACGUGAUACGUCACCACUUCACAAUCAUGCACAUGCAAACAAAUCUGACAUUAAAUAUUACCCCAGACGAUCGAGCGCAAAGCUAGCAUCCAAUCACAAUAAGGACGCGAGUACUAGCCAAUCACAGCACAGUAGGGUGGGACUUGCCGCAAAACGGGGGGUGGUGAUGGUGGUGGGGGUAACUCCUCCGAGAGGGAAAUGUUACGCUGUCCGCGGCUCUGAAACAACAGCUAAGCGAUUGUCACAGGUUGCCCUCACUUGUUUGAGGAGUCGUUCUCCCUCUGAUUUGUUCCAGUGUGCCUCAUCCACCAUACCUCUUGGGCCAAGAAGCCCUUUUUGACAAGAUGCUGUGCCAACAAUUUCUGAUGACAUCCAAGAGAGACAUGUGAAACUCUACAUGUCUGACUAUUUCAAGCAGGCCCCAGCCCGAACCGGGGGUGAGGGCCACCGAAUGACUGAGGAAAAGAACUUAUGAAGAUUGCCAUCCACUACAUGAAUUCUAACAUUACUUGUUCUUGUUAGUUGAAGCUCUGGAAAAAGGGAUAUGCUCAGUUCUCUGUUUAUUGUGUAAUGCACUUGUUUACGGUCAUUCAACAUUGGAAUUUUUAUUUUUUUUGACAGGUGACCCGAGUUCUACAUUUUGAAAUAAAAGACUUAUAAAAGACA